rnacentral:misc_RNA from 1 species
GGAAUAUCUCGGGAAGGUAGAAUCGCAAAUGGUUUAGAAUCGAGAGGUAUUUCGGAUUCCGGUACUUGAGGUUUGCAUCUGAGUUUGUACGGUGAGUUCUAAAAUAAUAAUCAAUCAUCGAUUGAGACCCAAGCUGUUUUAGAACUGGACUAUAGCUCGCAUUUAGCCACGUAAAUUCUUCAAUGUUCUGAACUUGAAUGGUCGCUUUCCUCGG